GACGAACGCUGGCGGCGUGCUUAACACAUGCAAGUCGAACGGAAAGGCCCGCCUUUUCUUGUGUGUUCGGGGUACGCGAGUGGCGAAAGGGCGAGUAACACGUGACCGAUAUGCCCCCAAAUCGGGUAGAAACCUGGGAUACUAGCGCUAAUUAGCGAUUGGACCGCAGGGUGGGGUCUGUGGUGGCAAAUGUUUUUCUAGUGGUUGGGGAUGAGCUGGCGGCCUAUCAGCUUGUUGGUGGGGUAAUGUCCGACCAAGGCGCCGACGGGUAGCCGGCGUGGGAGAGUGGACAGCGGAAUUGGGACUGGGACACGGCCCAGACGGCUACGGGAAGAAGCAGUGGGGAAGAAUGGGCGGUGAGCUGAACCCAGAAGCCGCGACGCCGGGUGGGGGAUGUCGGGCUUCGGAUUGUAGACUUCUGGCGACCACGAGGAGGCCACCUGGUUGGAAGGGUGGUGACGGUAGUGGAAGAAGAAGCACCGGCUAACUACGUG
rnacentral:rRNA from 1 species